GAAAUGCGAUAAGUAGUGUGAAUUGCAGAAUUCAGUGAAUCAUCGAAUCUUUGAACGCACAUUGCGCCCCUUGGUAUUCCAUGGGGCAUGCCUGUUCGAGCGUCAUUUGUACUCUCAAGCCUUGCUUGGUGUUGGGUGUUUGUCUUUGCUAUGCCUAGACUCGCCUUAAAUGUAUUGGCAGCCGAUAUAUUGGUUUGAAGCGCAGCACAAUUUGCGCGUCAGGCUUAUUCUAUCAGCAACCAUCAAGAUUCAUAACACGCUUGACCUCGGAUCAGGUAGGGAUACCCGCUGAACUUAA
rnacentral:misc_RNA from 1 species